UUGUAUCUGUCAGUCGCAGGAGAUUUCACGUUCGAUCAGUGGCUUAUGCAAGGAGAAAUGCACAUCGUCAUCGAGCAGUACGAUUACUGUCGAUUACUGAAUUCCUGGUGUGAAUGGAACAACUGCUCACUAAUUUCAUCUUUGCAAAAUCCAAGAAAGGUGAGAAUGCGAAAGCGUUGGACCUGUUUCCCCAAUCGGCUAAGGGAUCCUAAAGGAACCGUUUUUAAUCAACUUCACUAAACCAACAGACGGAACUUUGGUGUCACCGGCUGAGCUGCUCAGUAUUUUUUACAUGAAAGUUAUUCGAACACUACGGAGCCUACGAUUGCAUCAACGUGCUGGCUCAGAUUGCCAUUGGAACUUCGGUUCACAGCAAGCAACAGGCUAUGUUUCAAAGUAUCGAUUUCAGUGCCCACAUGGAGCUGGGAUACUAUGAGGAAGGUACCAUUUGUUGGUGUACAACUGUGAGCAAACUCAGAAGGACUCAUUGAGGCAGCUGGUGUGACGUUUGUCUCGGCAAAAAAGUUUAACAUAAUAAUCGAGCUGCCCUACUAUGAACUAGAAACUGAUUUCCAGAACAUCAUAAAAAUGCACGCUCUAUCCGUGGAAAUAUCAAAAACUAGUCACUAGGACUUUCUGUAUUCGUUUUACAUUCGCGAAAGGCUGCUCUCAUUGCCUACGAAAAAGCCAUGCGUUGUCAGCUGGAGUGCAACUCGCUCGCAUUUUUGAAGAUGCGUUGCGAAGCGCUGCUCAAGUGCAUCAAUGCGCUCAAUCAUGCGGCAUCGGAUUACGCCUGGAUUGCGAAGCCAUCGGUUUCCACAUAUGGUGGUGCUGUCAGAUUGGAAGAAUCAGACACCAAAAUCGUGGUUGUUGAUGUGGUAGAUGUUCGGAAGGAGUUGAUAAUAAACCAGACGGUGUUGGAAAUUUUUUAAACAGCAGGACGACUAUAAAGCUGUGAUGAAUGUCGAUACCAACGAGCUGCUGAUGAUUUUAGCUAACGCUAAACUGUAUACCACGGCUUUUCAAGCUGGCCAACAUGUUGGACAAAAACCUCACUAUGAUCUAUGAAAGCCUGGCAGCGUCCUGCGCUAUGUGCGCUUUGCAGGAAACUGCGGACAAUUUUGAUUGGCUGCAUAAAAACGCACUGGAAGGUAAUUAAAAAACUUUUUUUUUUCUAAUAACUUAUCUUAAUAACAGCCAAAUUUCAGAAUCUGUUCUAAGCUCAGUCAGCACCGAAACGGCUUAGAACGUUUUGAAGUUUAAUCUCGAGAAUGAAAUGCCGUACCCUAAGUUGCAAUGGGUUAACGGCUGCGGUGUGUAUGCCUGUGAAAAUGAUGGGUCAAACCAUCUUUUUCCUGAUAGUGUCGUUACACACAAUCUUGUUAAACAUGGUGUCAUAAUAUGGCCUAAAUUGGAAGUGGAGAUGGACAUCUCUAUUUAGUUUAAGUUUAGCGGUAGGUUCAACGAUGUCUAUUUUUUCAUGAUCCAUGUUGAUAAGAUGAAUGGGAGUUAAAACACUUGCCCUCCCUUCCGCAGAACAAUCGCAACAUUUUGUAGUGAAAGUAUCACAAUUUUCCAUAAUAAAAAUUGAUACUUUCAAUAGGGCAUAAUUCGUUUGGUUAGGUAGUUAGUUGGUUUAGUCUUAUAUAAAAUUAAAAAUAGAGAAAACGUGUAGAAGUAUCACGAUGUUAGGUGAAGGUUAUGGUAUUCGCCCUCCCCAAUGCUCUAGUAAGUGUGUAUUUGCGGUUUAUGAAUUUCGUUGGAUUAUUCUUAAAUCAAGCAUUUUACAAGAACUAGAGGCUGAUUGGAUGGGAAUGCUGUUGUUGAAGAAUAUUAUAUUUCAUUUGGUAAGAUGUUUUUUUUUUUUAUUUUUAUUUAAUUAUUCACUUUUAGCAGAUCUUUACAUUUUUCGGUUAAGUUUUGAAAUUCAUCUAUGGAAGUAGAUAAUAGAAUGUACGGUUUUGAAGAAUAACAAUGGUAGUCCAAAUACUGAUUUCGGGCAUUUUAAAAUACGCACACUGUAUAUUUUAAUAGAACCCCUAUGUAGACUUAGCACAGUUUGUCAGAGAGACUGACCAGAAUAAGUAAUUAGGUUUUAGAAGAACAGCAUUGUGCAUUUCCAGUUCUUUUGAUAAGUAGAUGAUAUCGAUCAAGAUAUUAAAGCUAGAUUAUUACUGGUUUGAGCUAGGCUUCAUAUUAUAUAUUGAUAGAUAAAAUGAACUAAUAUCCUAUUUUUCUUUUCUUUUUUUUCUCUUUUUUUUCUUUUUUGUAUUUCUUUUCAUGUGACCUUUUGAUGAUGACGAACGAGCCUUCAAGCCAUAUCCUCUCAACAUUGGACCCCAAAGAUGGUUUCGAAUCCCAAGGAUUUAAUCAACACCUAUUACAGAGUUCUAUAACAUGGUGAGAGCGUUCUAUUUUAUUUUAUUGUUUUAAAUUAUAUAUAAAUACUGUAGUUAGUUUCGUUGGGAUUAUUUAAGCGACCUGUCUCAAACCGCCAACGUAUUUCCUCCAACUGGUAUCAUGAGGGGUUAGUUCACUAUCUUGUUCUGCUUUAAGUUCAUAUUCAUCCGAAGUGGACUUAAGGAAGUGCAAGAUGGUAUAGCCAACGUCUCAAGAUCGCUUACUAUUCUAAGCUGCCUACUCUAAACUUUUAUUUCCCUGACCCCUCUACCCACAUUUCCUUUUCAGCGUCAGCUUCUCACAGCUAUUUAAACGCCACAAAAAAAAAAAAAAAAAAAAGUUUAAUCUCGAGAAUGAAAUGAAGGACGUCGAAGCCUGUUAUCUCGUCGUGAUAAAUUAAAUCAUUUCCAAAAACGGUUUUCCACCUCAAAGGUUGACAAACUAUUGUAUGGUGAGUUAUCUUCUAAAAAGUAAUUCCUUUCAACCCAAUUCAUAUUGCUUUAAAUCUACAGAACAAAGCGCCCAUCAAACUGUUACAGCUUUACGUAAACUUUGGUUGCCUAGAGGAAGCCUUCGAAAUCUCCGUCAAACUGAUCCAGGCGCAGCUGCAGCAGAAGCUCGAUCACGAAGUUACACUUCAACCGAUUCUCAUUUCCGAUUACGCUCAUCGAUCGGUUGCAGUUCAAAGAUGCUAAAUUCAAGCAGGUAAGUUAGUUUUUCUUUACCUAUAGGGGAUAUUUUUUUUAAUGAUUUUACGUUAUUUCUUUGUCUAUUUCUAGAUAACAAAUUUACUGAACCAGCUUAUCGACUGCAUUGCUAAAUUUCGUGUCCAUUCCCCAAUGAUAAUUCUGAUAAUUUCGAUAGUUUUCUAAGAAUACUUAUAAACUAAAUAUAACGAUCGCAUUUAUUAAUUGAAUAAAUAAUAUUAUCUUUAAGAGAUUAUAAAAUGAAUCCUCUCCUUUUUUAUUUUUGAUGGAAAAAAGAUAUUUAGAAGAUAAGCUGUAGCGUCCGCAAUAUUUGAAAAAAUUAUAAGAUAACGAUAACAUAUAUCUUUUAAGUGCCUUCAGCUACAUUUUUAAUCUAGAAAAAAGCAAAAAAAAUGAAUGGUUACUCUACUUAACGACCCGUUCGCUGUAUCGUAAAGUGCGUCCAAACGAUUCCAUUGCAUGAAAAAAUGAUAAUCCUUAUCUUACAUUAAUAAUCCAAAACUAUAGAAGUAAUCUUUUGUGUGUCUCGGGAAGAAGAUAAUGAGAAUAGUCAUUGUAUAAUACUGCUCCAUGCGGGAUAUUUAUCUCCAAUAAAUAUAAUUUUUGAUAGAAUUUUGUAUUUUUUAAAUUUUUAUUGAAGAAACCAAUCAAACCAACCAGCAUUUACCUUUUAAAUCAGUAAAUGGGAAAUCGGUAUUAUUUACUAUUUUGCUAGGAGAAUGCGAAAAGGUAAAAUAUACCUUUUUGCUAGGUGAAUUGAAAAAAGGUAUAAUUUACCUUUUUGCUAGGUGAAUGAA